rnacentral:rRNA from 1 species
UUUCGCAAUGCCCGAAAGGGUGACGAAGCGACGCCGCGUGGGUGAGGAAGGCCCUCGGGUUGUAAAGCCCUGUCAGGAGUUAAGAAAUGUAAGUGCGCUAAUAUCGCAUUUAUUUGACGAAGGCUCCAAAGGAAGCCACGGCUAACUCUGUGCCAGCAGCCGCGGUAAUACAGAGGUGGCAAGCGUUGUUCGGAAUUAUUGGGCGUAAAGAGCACGUAGGUGGGUUUGUAAGUCAGAUGUGAAAGCCUUCUGUUCAACGGAAGAAUUGCAUCUGAAACUGCGAGUCUUGAGUGUAGGAGGGGAGAAUGGAACUUCUGGUGGAGCGGUGAAAUGCGUAGAUAUCAGAAGGAACGCCGGCGGCGAAAGCGAUUCUCUGGCCUACUACUGACACUCAGUGUGCGAAAGCUAGGGGAGCAAACGGGAUUAGAUACCCCGGUAGUCCUAGCCGUAAACGAUGGGCACUAAGUAGAGGGGUUUUA